AUCCAAUCCAAGUCGCGCUGCUGUCAUCACUGCUGUAUUUUUGGUUUGUUGCGUUUGAACUGGAAAGAUUUUCUUUACCAAUGACACAACAAGUGGAUGUUCACAAAACUACUGUGGUUAACAGGAUUUUCACCAGCAACUUGGGCCACAUGGAAUAUCAGGGGGAAUUUCAAAGACUGGUGCCAAUGCUGUGCAAGGAAAGCAAGUGCUUCAAGGACAGAAGAAUAAUGAAAAAGAAACAAGGAUGGGACUUGCAAACAUAGCAACAAGACAUUGAAAGCUGAGGCACAAGUACAAUGUGGUAGCCAAAACCCAUGAAGUCCAGCGACAGCCACAGCAUAAAGGAGUGCACCUCAAAAAAGCAUGUUCUUCACUGUACCCGUGUUGUUUCGUUACUGCUUCAGCCUACUGUUUGUUUGAGGCAUCUGUCCUGCAGGCUGUGAAGUUAUGGAGGUGUAGUUUUGCCAUCGGGUUCAUCAUACCACAGCAUCAAUACUUCAUACCGUAUCUGGGUGUUGCAAAGUUCAGCCCUGCACACAAAAAUGAACAUAUACGGACCCUAUUUGAUCUGCUUGCACAAAGUGCUUGCACACUUGCUGCUUGCACACUGCUUGCACUCUGCUUGCACACUUGUUUUUAUAGCUUUCUUCGAGUCAUAAAAGAAAGAGGGGAAAUUUAACAGACUGCCAACUGGAAAUUGUGUUUCAUUAAAUGCAUGUUGAUGUGAAAUACAUUCCAGUUGGUUCGGUUUCUGAAGUAUCAGGACCACCAAUGGUGUAGCCACAUACUAAUGUUGGUAUUUUGUCAUCACUACAUUCAGGUUCACAUUUUUUAAAAUCUAUAAACAUGGCUAUACAGUCACAUUUAUAAUUAGCAAGCUCUUUGUAAUAAAUACAGGCUUUUUGCACCUGUCAUUUUAGUUCUGCCACUCACAAUCAGGUGAAUAUGUGGUAUCUAGAUUAGAUUAGAAUUAGAGAAAAGAUGUAAGUAAAUUUGACUAAACGUGGAUGUUCAUCUGGUUCGGGUGCUCUGUGUAGCAAUAUUGUCUCUUAUCAACAUCAUUGACCUCAGGUAAUACAUUCGGGUUGAUGCUUAAAGUGAGAGUGAAGUAUGUAUUUUUUUUCUGCUGUGCUGUAUUAUGUUGAAAGUUUAAAAAAAAUUACUGGUUCUAAGAACACUGAAUGACUGCAAACCACACAAGACCUUCACUGCACUCUUUCAUAUCCAUGAUCUGCCUUGCGAUGCAAAGCCACAUGUCAUUUUGACGCUAUGCCCAUCAACGUGUCAUAGUACAGUACGUUUGCACAUUAAUAAAAACCCCAAUCACUGUCACUACCAUCUCCAUACCAAAAGUGUGCAGUGUACCAUUUUGUAAGCACACUAUCUUUUGAGCACAUUAUUGCUCUGUGAAUGAAGAUGAAUAUGUAUCUCGCAUUGCUGUUUCCAUAGUGCCAUGUGCAUCCUGACGAGGUCACUGUGUGUGAAAAGUACAGUAGACUCAGAGCACCACAGCUUGUCACAACGGGUCCCCGCUCGUUCCCAAGUAUAGAACGUUCCUGAUCUCAAGUCCCUAAGGACAGCUGUGAUACGUGGAAGCUUUGUGAGAGCAUUGUCCCUUGAUAAAUACGCUCACUAGAGAUAAAGAAAUUGCAUAUUUGGCUAUCUUAACCUUCUGUCGUGAAGCAUGCAAAUUGGAAUAUGUUGCACAAUCUGUUUGGUUCCCCUUCCAGUGGCACACUGGAACAUGCCUGCCUUCUUUGCCAGUCCUGCUCAUCUAUAGGCUCCAGGGAUGGGCAUAAAUACACCUUUCGGGUAUUUAAAUACAAAUACAAAAUACUGCAUGUUUUCAUGUAUUUAAAUACUGCCUAUAAAUACUUUAUGAUGAAAGUAGUUAAAUACAAAAGAUGAAUACAUUAAGAAAAUAUUUAAAUACUAUAACUACUUCCGUAAAUACUUUGAGACGUCCAGGCACAUUAUUCUUUUAAAUUAGUGUAUAAAUAGAGCUACCUGUGGAUGCAUGUCUGCUGCACACAAUGCCCACAUGUUUCUUUAUUUUUCUGUGAUGCCGUGUCAGGGAUGGGCAUAAAUACACUUUUCGGGUAUUUAAAUAUAGAUACAGAAUACUACCUGUUUUCAUGUAUUUAAAUACUGCCUAUAAAUACUUUAUGAUGAAAGUAAUUAAAUACAAAAUAUAAAUACAUUAAGACAGUAUUUAAAUACUGUAACUACUUCCGUAAAUACUUUGAGCCGUCCAGGGACAUUAUUCUUUAAAAUUCUAUAAUAAAUGAAGCACCUGUGGAUGCAUCUCGACUGGACACAAUGCCCACAUACUUCUUUACUUUCCCAUGAUGCAGUGUGAUGAUUUCAGCAUCUUGUGUGGACCGACUUUUCAUGGAACGGAAACAUUUCCUUGAGUCUCAGAAGCAGCGAGAGGGGUGCUAGACAGGACAGACACGGGGCAAGAACCGACGACGACUCAAAACCAGCUAAUGAACUUGUUAUCGCUUCUUCCACUUUCUCUAUGUUGAGUAUAGUGUUCAUUUGCUCAUUUGCUGGUUUUGAGUCGUUGUUGUCAGUUCUUGUUUGCUGUCUGUCCUGUCCAGUCCCUACCUCCCCCCUGCUGCUCCUCCGACUCAAGGAGAUGUUUCCGCCCAAUCGCAUACUCCAGCUUCCUUGCCUCCUUCGACAUUCCAUCUUCAGCGACGACAGUGAAACACUCCCCGUCACAAAUAGGGUCACUAAUAAGCUAUUUAGUGACUCGAAGCUUAUUUAGCGACUCUAGUAAAAAAUUGUCCGGUGCGCUGCAGCCAUUCUCCUGAGUUCCCAGUGAAUGACUGAGUAGAAUUGCUGCUAACGAUUGCAUUUUAGGGGUUCCCUUUAGAUAACAGACUUUGUCAAGUGACGCAAGAGGGUUACGAAUCACAUCUUUCCCAAAUUGGUGUUCUCAUUUCUCUCCCCGCUUCCAAGACUGAAGCAACGGGGGUGGCGAUGCCCUCAUUCGCACAUUGUGCUGUUUUCCCCAAACACACGGGAUGAGUGACCUGUAGCCUCUAACCAAGAUACCCUUCAUCGCUGGAGGCUAACAAUGUGGACGUCGAGAGAAGCCCACAAAUACGGAAGGAUGAGAUAUGUGUAUUUAAGUGUAUUUUAGAUAUAAAUGUGCCUAAAAUGGUAUUUAAAUAUAAAUACAUUUUUCUUGCCUGUAUUUAAGUACAUAUUUUAAAUAAUAUUUUAAAUACAAUGUAUUUAAAUACUGCCCAUCUCUUAUAGGCUCUACAUGCACUUAUCAUGUCGUCCAUGGCACCCUGUAGAAAAGACAAAUUACUGACUUUGUAGUGAUUGAUUUUAAUUAAUGAAGUGCUGAUUCUGAGUUGACCAGAAGCAGCAAAAAACUGCCCAGAUACGUACUGUGCAUGCCAUUAAUGUUGAUGUUGAUGAACAAAAUGAUAGGGAGUAUGGAGUUCCGUAAAUGUGUACUUGGUGUACUUGGUCUAAAACAAAGAUUGUUAGCAUGUCGAACAAGUUCAGCGAGUGAAAACUUUAAAAAAAUGAACCGUGUGAAGGGAAUUGAAAUGCUGGUUGCACUGGCAAUAUUUCUAAGCAUAAAUAAGUGGAAGCAAAAACAAACCCGGCAGGCACUGUUCUCAUAUAAAGGCAACAUUUGUCUUUCUGACCAGAGAUUUUGUUCUUUCUUUUUGACUCUGCAAAGCACCCACAUGACUAUUGCCAGAUGGUAACGGUAAUAGUUUCUUGGGUGUGUCAUGCACUUCCUCUAGCUAUGAUGUGUUAUUGUCACAUGCUCUCUAAAGUACCUUCAUCAAAGUGACGGAGGAUUUACUCCGCAGCCAAUGUUAAAUUACGUGUCAAAGCCCUUCACUUGCACAGGCACUCAUGUACUGUGACUGGGUGUGUAAGGAGAAGUGAGUAAGAAAUUGGUUAGAAAGUUAGUGUUCUAAUAAUAUUUGUGCAUUACACUUGUGCCAAAUCUGGGACACACAUCAGCUGUCCACAUUCCUAUGCAUAUUUUGUCUCGGUCAACGCAUUUUCAGUUCAGCCUUAUUGUGAGUGUUGAAGUUCAAGAAUGCAAAGUUAACUUUUUAGUCAGCGACACUGUUGACAUUUUGUAUAUUGUGUAAUGUAGCAGACUUCAAUACGUAGUCUAUUUCUCCCUUCCAGGAAAUCACAUCAGCAGUGAAGGCUUGGCAGCAGCUCAACACAAUCCAUACAUUUGUUCACCCAUGAACUAUAUUCAAGUGCUAUAUACAUAGAUAAUAUGUGCCUUAUGUGUUCACUGAUACGCUUAUGUAGAGAUACGUGAAUUACUUUUUUUGUUGUCUAUCCCUGAAUGCAUCACAUGUUGAGAACACACUGAUAUGUAUGAAAAGCAAAACAGAUGUUCCUCAAUAUUUACAAGUCAUGGUGAAAAGCUGGGGCAAAAUAUUCACAGGAUAAGCUACAGCACUCAUCCCAGGCUUAAGUUUGUGUGGUUAAGUGGCUGAUAGCUGCAGCCUGUUCUGCGUAUCUUUUCUUUUAAUUCAUGUUACUGCAUCAGAUAUGGACAUGUACAAACCAGCGCUGCCUCAACUUCUAUGCAUGGCAGUGACACACUACACGAAAAUGAGAUUCUAGUUAUUUCAGAUGAAACAAGUUGAAAUUCUAGUAAUCAGUUGGGAAUUCUGUAGAAUUCCUGUUCUAGUCGGGUUGUAAUAACUAUUGUGAAUUAGGGCUUUGAGUCUUGAAAAUGUAAUUGACCACCUUCAGGAUUAUCACAUAAAAGAAAUUGAAUUUUUGUAAGUUUAUUACUUUUGAGGUGGUAUGGCCUUCGUUGCUUAAGCGCCAAGAAAACCUGAAUCAUCAUCAUCAUCAUCAUCUUUUGAGGUGUGGCAUCAGGUUGUCACGUAUGGUGAAUGAAUGAAUUAAAAGCCUUUAUUUGGUCUGAAAGUUGACGUGGAAUUGGGAGAAAAAGCUGGUUACAGCCUGACGGGCUACACUAAGCAAAAUAAUAUGACAAAUGCAACACAUAUUUAUGUAUAAACAGACUUUCAAUACAUAAGUAAUAUAUCAUAUCAGCAAGAGAGAGAUGUAUAAACAUAUAUACUUCAACUGUGCAAAUAGCUAACUAAGCCACUGCUUGCAACCCAGAAAAUGAGUAUUGAUUUCAAAGUUAUGGUUAGAUAAUCUGUUGAGGAGAGAUGGUAGUGUAUAGGAAAGAGUCUGUAAACCAUGGUUAGCUCUUAAUUGUGGUAGUUUCCAUUGAUUUACUCGUCGAAUGUCAUGCGUCCUUUCUGUAGGCUCAUGGUGACCAAUGUUGAGUACAGUUCAAAUCACCAUUUGCAUGAUUAAGAGUCAAUUUAAAUUUCCCCCGAUGUAGUUCCCCGUAGUGGGUGACCGUAGUUUAAGUGACACAUAAGUAGUGAUUGUACAGUAAAUUUUUUUAUUUAUUUAUUUGUUUAUUUCAUACCCACAGCGCCUUUCGGCAUUACAAUUAGGGGGUUACACACAUGAAAACAAGCAAUAACAUCAGGCCAGCUCACAACAAAAGCCCAACAACAAUGACUGACAUACACAAUACAAAAGUUCUUCAAGAAGUCUACCAUAUUUACCCACACUUCCGACUAAUAAUCUAGGUCAGCAUGGAGAAGAAGGUCUCAUUAGACAAAGCUGUGACGAUAGAAGACGGCAAAUGGUUCCAAUCCCUAAUCGUUUUGGGGGAAAAAGACAUUCUAAAUGUGUCCGUGGCACAAGCAUAUUCACGCACCUUGUAUGGGGAAUCCAAGUGUUCAGAUGUGUAAUGUGAAGCUAGGAAGUACCUGUCCCUGCCAAUACUGGUUUUGGAGUGGAAGAUACUAUGAAAAAGCUCUAGACAUAAUUUCCUCCAUCAUACUUCAAGAAGUUCUCAGUUUAAGUACUCUGUAGCGCAUGUCGCACUAAAACUAAUACCGUACUCACCAGUCACAAACCGUGCUGCAGCAUUUUGCACCCAUUCUAACUUUGUAGCAUCCCUGUUUGUUGGCAGGUCCUAAACCGUGCACGCAUAUUUCUCACACCUGUUUAAUUUAACACGAAAAGGGGAACAUGAGUCAAUAUCUAGAGGUGAUAUUGAAAAUUUUGGGCAGUUUGUUUUGGACAUACUCUGUGUGCUGGUCCCAGAGUAACUUCUCAUUAAAGAUAACCCCUAAGCAUUUCACGAACUUCACUAUCAUCAAGAGGGAAAUUGUGAUACAUUAUCUCUUUAUUUAAAUUAACAAAAAUAUUUUGAGGGCAAAAAAUAACUUUAUUCUUGCUAGUGUUAAUUCAUAAACACCUCAAGCUAGAGAGAACUGAUGUUCUGAGGCCUGAACAACAUAGAAAGGACAAACACAUACAAAGCCUCAAAUUGCUUAAGAAAUGAACAAUGAAAGAUGAAAGUCACUGAAAAGGCUAGCAAGCUGUUGGACUCGAACUCACAUAUUCUGGAUUACCGGUCCAGGGCUCUACCAAUUGAGCUAAGCUAACACGCCUCCUCAGCGACUUCCAAGGGUGCGUCAUCUGAAGGGACAAACCAGCCACUCUCUCUCUCAUCCUCCUUUCACUCUUACAUUUUUGCUCACACAUUCAUACGGCGGGAUCGACGCAAGCGGCAAUUGGCAAGCGGCAACUGGUAAUCCAGAAGAUGUGGGUUCAAGUCCUACAGCUGGCUAACCUUUUCAGUGACAUUCAUCUUUCAUCGUUCAACUUCAAGCUAACCCAUUUUGCCAGGUUACGGAGCACCUAAUUUGCAGUAUCUAUUAAUAAAUCUAUGUCGUAGCCACUGAGAAAUACACUCAUGCUGUCUGCAUAUAAAAUGAAUUCACAGUUGAUAGCUAAGUUAACCAAGUCAUUCAAGGACACAAUAAACAGAAGAGGUCUCAGUACACUUCCUUGUUGUACUCCACAAGUAACAUUUUCAAUAUAUUUUAACUUUCACCAACCUUGGCGCAUUAUGACCUUCGUUGUCGCUGCGCCAAAAAAAUCCCAAUCAUCAUCAUCAUCAUCAACAUUUUCAAUAGAUGAUUCAAUCUGACAUCCCAAGUGUGCAUAUUGUUUACAGUGUUUUAGGUGUGACUGUAUUAAGUUUAAGGCGAUACCUCGUACUCCAUGGUAGUUAAGUUUGCACCACAUGCUCAACCUUGCUCAAAUGCUUGGGAUAAUAACUUAGAUUGAAGGUUUCGAGGUAUUAAUUCUUUCUGUUUGAGCGAAGAUGUUCCAGUUGAAAGUCCUCUUCGGAAGCCGUGUUGAAAAUCAUUCAAGUGUAGUGAAGAUAUGAAGUGUAGUGUUGCACCACAUCUCCCUCCUACCAUAGUUUCUAAGCCAUAAAGACUCUAAUCAUCAGCAGCAGCAUCUCCGUCCUGGAGCUGUACAGUCAGUGUGGCCCAGUGCGCCACUCCCUUCAUUCAUUUCUAUGGUGCUGCAGCACCUCAGAGACAUCAGAUGACAAACCUGUUACUAUACCAGUUGCAUAAGACCUUCUCCUAACUAUGUUGCUGUUGUUUUCCCACCACUAAACACGAUUUUAUUUUUGCGUGUGUUUUCAGGGCCAGCAAAGCGAGACGGACAUUACAUGUGCAAUUUCUGCCCAUACAUAUCAACUAGGAGCUCUGAUGUUGUAAGGCAUGAGAGGACACACACUGGACAGAAACCCUUCCAGUGCACCAUCUGCAACAAGGCGUUCACCCAGCGAACAUCUCUUAUUCGGCAUCAACGCUGUCAUGAGAGAGGAGAACGCUAUUGUGUGGUAACAGUUCCGUGUGCUUUUGACCACAGCGACUCAUCUCUCCCAUAACCUCUCUCUCUCUCUCACCACACCACCACACACUCACCAUAGUUUUGGCGCUCGAUGGCCUUUGUUGCCUUUGUGCCAUUAAACCCAUAAUCACUCUCUCUCUCUCUCUCUCUCUCUCAUAACAUAGCAUAUUGAACAUAGAUGAACUGUGUCAGCUUACUCCUUAUUGACACCUCUCAAGAACAUACACCAUCGCACAUCGAUUCAUUCAUGAAGAGGACUGCAGUGCACUCUGUGGCACCUGACGUGUGAAAGCAACAAGAUACAUUUCAAGCUUUGUGAUGGUGGGGGCCAAAUAAUAAACGAAGACGAACCAUUA